rnacentral:rRNA from 1 species
GAGUUUGAUCGUGGCUCAGGAUGAACGCUGGCGGCGUGCUUAACACAUGCAAGUCGAACGGAGUGCCUUUGAAAGAGGAUUCGUCCAAUUGAUAAGGUUACUUAGUGGCGGACGGGUGAGUAACGCGUGAGGAACCUGCCUUGGAGUGGGGAAUAACACAGUGAAAAUUGUGCUAAUACCGCAUAAUGCAGUUGGGUCGCAUGACUCUGACUGCCAAAGAUUUAUCGCUCUGAGAUGGCCUCGCGUCUGAUUAGCUAGUUGGUGGGGUAACGGCCCACCAAGGCGACGAUCAGUAGCCGGACUGAGAGGUUGGCCGGCCACAUUGGGACUGAGACACGGCCCAGACUCCUACGGGAGGCAGCAGUGGGGAAUAUUGGGCAAUGGGCGCAAGCCUGA